UACGUAGGGGGCAAGCGUUGUCCGGAUUUAUUGGGCGUAAAGAGCGUGUAGGCGGCCAGGUAGGUGGGUUGUGAAAACUGGAGGCUCAACCUUCAGACUCGACCCAAACCCCCUGGCUAGAGUCCGGAAGAGGAGAGUGGAAUUCCUGGUGUAGCGGUGAAAUGCGCAGAUAUCAAGAGGAACACCUGCGGCGAAGGCGGGUUGCUGGGCCGACACUGACGCUGAUGCGCGAAAGCUAGG
rnacentral:rRNA from 1 species